CUCGACUGACCCCUCCCCAGUGUUACCCACUCACCCGUCUCCAUCCGCUGCCCCGCUCUCUGCCCUCUCGACCUUACUCACCCCACCGCCCCAGAUCCUCCAGACCCUUGUCCUCCCGCUGAUCCCGCUUCCCUUAUGCCUCCGGACCUCUCUUCUACCUCGUUGUCCCCUCCCCUCCCGACUGAUUUGCCGUCCCUAAUCUCUGCCCUCACUGCCCUGACCCAGCCCCCCGUUCCCACCCCUCCAAUCCCUUCUCCAGUGGUACCCCCUCCCGAUAUCCCGGUCCCCUUUACCUCGUUGCCUCCUCCCCUCUCGGCUGAUUUGCCGUCCCUAAUCUCUGCCCUUACCGCCCUGACCCAGCCCCCCGUUACCACCCCUCCAACCCCUUCUCCAGUGUUACCUCCUCCUCCCGAAGUCCCGGUCCCCUCUACCUCGUUGCCUCCUCCUCCCUCGGCCGAUUUGCCGUCCCUGAUUUCUGCCCUCACCGCCCUGACCCAACCCCCCGUUACCACCCCUUCUCCAGUGUUACCUCCUCCUCCCGAAGUCCCGGCCCCCUCUACCUCGUUGUCUCCUCCUCCCCCGACUGGUUUACCCACGCUGUUACGACCCAGCCCCCUGUUCCCAUCCCUCCGACCUCUCCCCCGGUGACCCCUGACCCAACCAUGGCCAAUGACCUGUCUAGCUCGAUAUCCGCCCUCUUCUCUGCUGUUACCUCCCUGGUUAAUUCCGCGAUUCCUGCCCCGCCUCCCACUGAUUUACCUCCUCCUCCUCCACCUCCUCCCUCUGAUCCUCCAACCCCUUCUCCGCCCCCGGCUAACGUCCCCGAGCCUUCCGAUCCAAUCUCUGCCCUUGCUCACGUCCUUAAUACUCACCUAUCACGCCCAUCCCAGCCGGCCCCCUGCUUUAGAGGCCCGUGCAUACCCUCCAGCUCAUGCUGAUGGGUUUGACACGGGUGGUUUCCGAGAUAUUCAGCCCCUACCUCGACAAAGCCGCCUUGCCCGUGCUCCUAUGCAGUCCAGCCACCCUCCCACUUCUACCCGCCGGUACCAAGGACCCGACCAGGCCCAUUUAGAUUUACUGCAAUAGGUUACCGGCAAGCCUGUGUCAGCAACCCCUGCCAUGACCCCUCCUUUUUGUCAGACACCGAUGUCUCCUGUGUUGGGGUGGAUGGUACACCCCGCAGUAGCCCCCUCCCUACACUCCUGCAUGUUGGUUCACACAUACUCUCACGUUUUGUUGUUUCUUCUACUUGUCCCAUUAACCUCUUGGGUGCUGAUGUUCCUUCUCGGCUCCAGGGUCCAGUUAACUACACCCUUAUCACAGUCAGACACCACUGUACUCUGCUCACUCCCCAUCUUGUUGAACCUAACUGACAAUACAGGGAGUGCACGGGUCACACCCCCCCCCAGUGCUCUGGAUCGUAUCCCCCAAGAACUUUGGUCCACCGGCCCGGAUGAUAUUGGACGCUUACAUGUACCCCCCCGUCCUGGUCCAGCUCCUGCCUGGAGCACUUCCUCUUCGUAGACCUCAGUAUCCUCUGAAGUCACCACAAGCUGAAACCAUCACCAAACAAGUUGAGUCUCUGCUUGCCAAAGGUGCCCUCACCAAGUGCACAUCUCCAUGCAACACCCCACUUUUCCCUGUUAAAAAGCGAACUGUUAAGGGCCAACCCGACCAGUACCGCAUGGUACAGGACCUCCGUGCUGUUAAUGAAGUAACCAUAAAGGACACUGCUAUUGUUCCAAACCCCCAUACUCAUCUGGAUGUUAUUCUACUUCAAUAUGUUGAUGACCUCCUUCUCUGUGCUCCUAAUUUGCUUAUUGCAGAGCGUGACUCAGAAGAUCUCCUAUGUUUCCUCGCUGCUGCAGGUUGCCAAACUUCCAAAUCCAAGCUGCAAUGGUGCCGGCCCCCUGUGGUCUUCUUGGGACAUUGUCUUUCCCAUGGCACCAGACAUCUAACUUCUCAGCGUGUACAAGCUAUUUUGCAACUCCAAUUACCUGCACCACAUCAGACUCUUCAUGCCUUCUUGGGUCUUAUCACAUACUGCAGGUCCUGGAUACCCGAAGCAUCAAAGCUCAUGCAGCCACUCUAUGAUGCCCUCAGGAGUGAGCCCUUUCACCUCACUGAAGAAACUAUCAUCUGUUUCCACAAUUUGAAAAGAGCUAUUGCUUCUGCACCUGCCUUGGGCCUACCCAACUACCAACUUCCUUUCAAUCUGUUUGUCUCUGAAAAAUCAGGACAUGCUUCCGGAGUCCUCACCCAGAAACAUGGAUCAAGACAACGACCUAUUGGCUAUUUUUCCUGCAUGCUUGACCCUGUUGCGAGAGGUAGUCCCUUUUGCCUCAGAGCGGUGUUUGCCGCCAGCGCCCUCCUGGACAAGACCAAUGAUUCUGUUCUUGGCCACCACCUCACAGUGUUGGCCCCUCAUGACAUUACUGCAAUCCUGCAACAAACUCAACCUAAGCACCUUUCUUCUCAACGUUACCUUCGUCUACAAACAUCCUUACUGUAACCUGACAAUGUGAAACUUCAGCGAUGUCUCUCCCUGAACCCGGCCACUCUUCUGCCACUUCCCAAGGGGGGAAUUGUGCAUUACUGGUAUAGCCUGGACAUCAAGCCAGAGGUUUGAGCAGAUUUGCAGCUGCCUGCACUUGCACCCCCACAUAAUGAACAAUCAGAGGCCCUACUUCACUGCACCUUAUGGUUUAAAGACAGACCAGGCCCUGAUAUGAACUAUGAGGAAGAAUUAUUCCAGCUCAAGGAAAUUCCAAUUACCCUGACUGACUUGUUAUGGGACCCCACAGGUACCAUGCUCAUCUUAGUCCAUCUUCCAGAGAACAUGACACAUCUCUACCAUCAUUGGGAAACAGCUAUCCCACACAUAUCUCUCACCAGAUCCUCUGACACCUCAUGGAAAGACCUAGGCCCGAUGGCCAAGACCUGGAGUCAAAUGAACCAAGAACAACUGACUUCUAUGGGGACCAGCAAAAAGACUAUUAACUACUGUACAGCAGGGUACCCUAGGUACCACACAGACGUCUAUGAGGACCCACUCAUCAUAGACUGUGACCCUGAUAUUUCCCCACUUAGCUGAUCAGGCCGCUAAGGAAGCAGCACGACAAGGAUGGGAAGUGGACAGAAGAGUGGCCACAGAUGCAGUACCCAUCUACACUAUGCAGACACUGCCUACGGAUCUUAGGCUUCUAAAGGAACAACGAGCUGCUGCUACUCCCCAGGAGAAACAAAGUUGGAAGAACAAAGGAGCUGUACUCCGUGAUGAUGUUUACACUAUCAAUCUCAAGUUUUGCCUACCCAGAAAUAUGUAUCCAGCGGUGGUCCAAUGGGCCCAUGGGCCAGCCCACCUGUCAAAACAUCUGAUGAACUCAUUGAUUGACAAGUAUUUUGAAGCACCAGGCAUCACUACCUUAACACAGAAUUACUGUAAAUCUUGUACUAUAUGUGCUAAAUGCAAUCCUGGAAAGAUUAUAAAGACUGCACCUAAUCAUCUAGCUAAACCACAAUACCCCUUCCAGAGGAUCCAGAUUGAUCACAUUCAGAUGCCAAAGAGUGGACGUUAUGAAUAUGCAUUGGUCAUAGUGGACAUGUUUUCAGGUUGGCCAGAGGCCUUCCCAGUGACUAAUCUCACCGCGAGGACUACAGCCAAGUAUCUCUUGACAGAAAUUGUUUGCCGCUAUGGAGUUCCAGAAGUAAUUGAAAGUGACCAAGGGACCUCCUUCACUGCCUCACUAACACGGGAAGUCUGGCCAGCACUGGGGGUGACCCUUGCAUUCCACACACCAUAUCACCCACAGGGUAGUGGUAAGGUAGAGCGCAUGAAUGGCACUUUGAAAGCCAGAAUGCUUCAAAUGUCACAAGAAACUAACAUGCCCUGGCCCGAGAGUCUCCCAUUAGCGUUGUUUAGUGUAAGGUACAAUCCUAGGGGAAAAUAUAGCCUAUCACCUUAUGAGAUUUUGUUUGGUACAGCACCCAGGUUAGGUUGUUACUUUCCCCAACAGCUUCAGAUUCAGUCAGAUGCUAUGGUAGACUAUGUGACUGCCCUCUCACAUGCCUUGACCAAAAUACAUGCCCAAGUGUUUUCUUCUAUUCCAGAUCCUGAGUCAAAUACAGGUACACACAAGCUGCUUCCUGGUGAUUGGGUUAUGGUCAAGAAGUUUCUCAGGAAACACACCUUAGAACCAAGAUUUGAUGGCCCGUAUCAAGUGCUCCUGAUUACAGCAACGUCAGUUAAACUAGCCGGGAAGAGUUCUUAUACACGCCUCACAUUGCAAAAAAGUGCCUGCUCCAGAAGAGGCUAAUCUUGCUGAAAUAUGAAUUUAUUAUGUGUCUUGUGUUUUCUUAUGCUGCUACACUUUACCUGGGCCCAACAAGUGGCCAUAACCAAAGAUAAUCAUGUUUACACUUUUCUGGUACAAUUCUUCUAACACAGAUGUAGCUACAUACACCUUUGAUUACUGUGACAUAGUUGUUUGCACCUUUUCCACAAACACAAUAUGCAGCCAUAUACAAAGACAUACCUAGCAAAAAGGCUCACCUCACCAGACUGGGUAGGAACCACUCACAUGACUAUUAACACGUUAAAACCACAUAUUAAGACUCUACAUGACAUGGUAGCUAUAGCCAAUCCCACCUUUGAAGACACUAUGACAGUAGAGACUGGG